rnacentral:misc_RNA from 1 species
GUGAAGCAUGGGCAGCCAUACGGAUAUGCAAAACUGCGUGUCUCUGGCGCCUAACCCACUAUAUCCACCUAACCCCUGUGCACUGUGUGCGGAUGCGAUGGCUUGUUCAUUGCGUCCGCCCAAGUAUAAACUCGUAUGGUUGUAUGUACGUGGAAAAUGUAGGAUAAAAACCUACGAACCAAACA